CGCGGCCUAUCAGCUUGUUGGUGGGGUAACGGCCCACCAAGGCAUCGACGGGUAGCUGGUCUGAGAGGACGAUCAGCCACACUGGGACUGAGACACGGCCCAGACUCCUACGGGAGGCAGCAGUGGGGAAUAUUGCGCAAUGGGCGAAAGCCUGACGCAGCAACGCCGCGUGGGGGAUGAAGGCCUUCGGGUUGUAAACCCCUUUCAGCAGGGACGAAAAUGACGGUACCUGCAGAAGAAGCCCCGGCCAACUACGUGCCAGCAGCCGCGGUAACACGUAGGGGGCAAGCGUUGUCCGGAUUUAUUGGGCGUAAAGAGCUCGUAGGCGGUUGCGUAAGUCGGAUGUGAAAACUCAGGGCUCAACCCGGAGACGCCAUCCGAUACUGCGAUGACUAGAGUCCGGUAGAGGAGUGUGGAAUUCCUGGUGUAGCGGUGAAAUGCGCAGAUAUCAGGAGGAACACCGACGGCGAAGGCAGCACUCUGGGCCGGUACUGACGCUCAGGAGCGAAAGCGUGGGUAGCAAACAGGAUUAGAUACCCUGGUAGUCCACGCCGUAAACGUUGGGCACUAGGUGUGGGGCCUUAUCAACGGGUUCCGUGCCGUAGCUAACGCAUUAAGUGCCCCGCCUGGGGAGUACGG
rnacentral:rRNA from 1 species